rnacentral:rRNA from 1 species
GACGGAGGAUGCAAGCGUUAUCCGGAAUUAUUGGGCGUAAAGGGUGCGUAGGUGGUCGGUCAAGUCUGCUGUCAAAGCGUGGUGCUUAACUCCAUAUCGGCGUGGGAAACUGACGGACUAGAGUAUGGCAGGGGUUGGAGGAAUUCCCGGUGUAGCGGUGAAAUGCGUAGAUAUCGGGAAGAACACCAGUGGCGAAAGCGGUCUGCUGGGCCGUAACUGACACUGAGGCACGAAAGCUAGGGGAGCGAAUGGG